AAUGAACGCUGGCGGCGUGCCUAACACAUGCAAGUCGUACGAGAAAGGGGCUUCGGCCCUGAGUAGAGUGGCGCACGGGUGAGUAACGCGUGGGUAAUCUGCCCUUGGAUUUGGAAUAACUCCGCGAAAGUGGAGCUAAUGCCGGAUAGUCUGGCUUUUUAACGAAGUCGGUAAAGGAUGCCUCUGCAUAUGCAUUCGUCCGAGGAUGAGCCCGCGUCUCAUUAGCUAGUUGGUAGGGUAAUGGCCUACCAAGGCAACGAUGAGUAGCUGGUCUGAGAGGAUGAUCAGCCACACUGGAACUGAAACACGGUCCAGACUCCUACGGGAGGCAGCAGUGGGGAAUAUUGCGCAAUGGGCGAAAGCCUGACGCAGCAACGCCGUGUGAGGGAUGAAGGCUUUCGGGUCGUAACCCUCUGUCAGAAGGGAAGAACGGGCAUUGGUCUAAUAGGCCUUUGUUUUGACGGUACCUUCAGAGGAAGCACCGGCUAACUCCGUGCCAGCAGCCGCCGUAA
rnacentral:rRNA from 1 species